rnacentral:rRNA from 1 species
GUGAGGAAUAUUGGUCAAUGGACGGAAGUCUGAACCAGCCAAGUAGCGUGCAGGAUGACUGCCCUAUGGGUUGUAAACUGCUUUUAUACGGGGAUAAAGUCAGGGUCGUGACCCUGUUUGCAGGUACCGUAUGAAUAAGGACCGGCUAAUUCCGUGCCAGCAGCCGCGGUAAUACGGAAGGUCCAGGCGUUAUCCGGAUUUAUUGGGUUUAAAGGGAGCGUAGGCCGGAGAUUAAGUGUGUUGUGAAAUGUAGAUGCUCAACAUCUGCACUGCAGCGCAUACUGGUUUCCUUGAGUACACACAACGUUGGCGGAAUUCGUCGUGUAGCGGUGAAAUGCUUAGAUAUGACGAAGAACUCCGAUUGCGAAGGCAGCUGACGGGAGUGCAACUGACGCUGAAGCUCGAAAGUGCGGGUAUCGAACAGG